CCUACGGGUGGCAGCAGUGAGGAAUAUUGGUCAAUGGUCGGGAGACUGAACCAGCCAAGCCGCGUGAGGGAUGAAGGUACAGAGUAUCGUAAACCUCUUUUGUCAGGGAACAAAGGCGGGGACGCGUCCCCGGAUGAGUGUACCUGAAGAAAAAGCAUCGGCUAACUCCGUGCCAGCAGCCGCGGUAAUACGGAGGAUGCGAGCGUUAUCCGGUUUUCUUGGGUUUAAAGGGUGCGCAGGCGGUCUGUUAAGUCAGCGGUCAAAGCCCGGGGCUCAACCCCGGGCCGCCGUUGAAACGGACAGUGUCGAGUGGGAGAGAAGUAUGCGGAAUGCGCGGGUGAGCGGUGAAAUGCAUAGAUAGCGCGCAGAACUCCGAUUGCGAAGGCAGCAUGCCGGCUCCACACUGACGCUGAGGCACGAAAGCGUGGGUAUCGAACAGGAUUAGAUACCCCAGUAGUC
rnacentral:rRNA from 1 species